AUGUCAGAAAAACAUACGGAAAUAUUUGCUUCCAUGUGUCCAGAUGAAAUCCUGGACCACUAUAAUGAUUAUAAUAUCAGAGAAUAUUACACGACAUUGAUGCUGGGAGAUAUAUCAGGGUUUACGGAGUUGACAGAAAAAUAUACAACGUCUGGAAAAAGUGGACCAUCAAAAUUAACAGAGACACUUAAUAGUUACAUUGGACCAAUAGUCCAGGAAAUUUUAUCCCACCAUGGAGAUGUUUUGAAAUUUUCAGGCGAUGCAUUUAUUGUCAUGUGGAAGCUACAGGAAGGAAUGGUAAUGCGAGAUCUCGCAACAAAGGCUAUGCAAACAGCCUGUAUUGUUCAAAAACACUUUGGAACUUAUGUUACUGAUAUAGGUGUCACUUUGAAAGUAAAACUAGCCAUAGCUUCUGGAAAAAUAUGUUUUACAUCAAUUGGCGAUCCACAACAAAUGUCUCAUUAUAUUAUUACUGGUAAACCUGUGUGGGAUGUAAAACAUGCUGAGACUCUUUGCAGGGGAGGUGAUAUUUUGGUAGCUCCAAGUAGCUGGCAAUGGGCUAAUCCAAGUGAUUAUGUUUUUAAAAUUCUUCCUGACAGACAUACAUUAAUUUUAGCAAGUGCAACAAUGUGGGACCAUUCUAAAGAUGAUUAUAAAGAUAACGAAUCAUCGGCAUCUUCUAUAAAUAGUGAUGAAACUAAUUCUACAACAAUUGCAGUAGAUGAUAACUUUAUUUAUAAUGAAGAUUCUGCUACUGCUAUUAAGUUUGAAGAUCAUAUUAAAAAUGGUGGAUUUAAAUCAACUAUCGAUUACAGUCUGAGGCCAAAAGUAGUUAAUGUGACAAAGCAGCAUUUAAAAAAUGAGCUGAGAAGCUACAUGCUUAAACCAGUAGUACGUUCUGUCGAACUUGAUGAGCCACUUGAACAUAUUGCUGAAAUUCGUCAAGUUGUCAUUGUUUUUAUAAAUGUUGUUACCGAUAGUAAUAUUAAAAAAAAGGCAUUAAUUUACAUUGUUAACAAAGCAUUCAAACGUGUUUGUGGGAUUGUUGAUAAACUUCAAGGAUGUGUAAACAAAGUAUCGUUAUUUGAUAAAGACCUUAUGUUUCUAUGUAUUUUUGGUCUCAGAGGUGGUAAACAAGAGCUGGAAGCCCAGAUAGGACUUCGUUGUGCUUCAAAAUUAAAGAGAGCACUGAGUGCUAUUGAAAAUAUCGAUUCUGUAACUAUUGGAGUAUCAACUGGUAUGACUUAUUGCGGUGUUGUUGGACAUACUUUGAGACGAGAGUAUACUGUUAUUGGAAUGCCAGUUAAUAAAGCUGCUAGACUUAUGGUUGCUUAUGUUAAUAAAGUUGUCUGUGACAGAGAAAGUUUUCUUUACUCACGUCUUGAAUCAGGACAUUUUAUUCUUCAGGAAGCUAAAUACUUGAAAGGAAUUUCAAAUGUCGGUCCUAUAUAUGAAUUUCUUGAACAAGUCCAAAUUCAAGAUUCAGAAAUGACAGCAGCAACUUAUCCAUUGCUAGGCCGAACACCUCAAUUAAUAUUAUUCAAAUCAUUAUUUGCUGAAGCUCAAAUUCGUGUUUAAUUUUUAAGGGGUGAGCCACGAAUCGGAAGAACUCGAUUGCUCGAUGAAAUAUCAAAAAUUAUUCCGAAAAAUAUCGCCUGCAAUUAUAUAACUCUUACAGACAAUGAUCUAGAAUUGGUUCUUGAAUGCUUUAAAGAAUUAUGGGCGAUUUUAGUCGAUGACGCAGAAUAUAUUGACAAAGAAUCUCUUACUUUGAUACCGACAAUUGUUGAUCAAGAAAGAAUUUUUUUUGUCUUUGGUCUCAAUGACGAUGAAAAAAAAUUAAUUGGAAUAUUAGAGAAGAAAUCUAAAGUAAUAAAUCUUCAAGGUUUAGAUAAAUGGUAUCAUGCUGGAUUAGUUUGUCAAUUUUUGAGAGUCGUUGCUAUUCCUCCAGAGUUAGAAAAAGUAAUUCAAGAAAAAAGUAUGGGGAAUCCAGGAUGGAUUGAAAAUUAUCUCGUAAGUUUAAUGCAAGUUGGUGGUAUUGAAAUUAAAAAAGUUUCAAGAGAAAUGCUUAAAAAAAUGGAUCUAGUUACGCCACCACUGAAGAUGAUUAACACAAAAUUUUCAUCAGACUCUGAUGCAGAAGAAAUAGAAAAGGAAGAAACUUUAACACGAAAAGACGGCUGGCGGAUGUAUGAAAAUAGUUAUGAGGAAAAUGUUUCGAUACUAGAUGAGGAAAAAACAGCUAUAGAAGAAAAAGGUGUCUGCAUUUGUACGAUUAGGAAAAAUUUUCAACUCGAAGAUGUUGUCGCCGAACUUGCAACAGAUGUUUUGUUUCUUAAACUUUUUGAUUCUUUGAAACCAAUGGAUCAAAUUUUAUUAAAAUGUGCUGCGGUAUUAGGAGAAACUAUCAACAGAAGUUUACUGGAAAAAUUGAUGCAGCGAACUUCUAUUCGAGAUAUUGCUUUGUUAAUAAAUCUCUUUGAAAAAAGAAUACUUGGUUGUGCAGCUGGGGAUUUCAGUAGAAGUAUGGGACCAAGAAUAUCUACUAAAAAAUUAAGAAACAUAUAUGAUAAUAUAAAAAUAAAAUGUGGAUGUACAAAUGUUAAAAUACGAGAACCACUUUCUGAUCUCCCUAAAUAUGCAUCUUGUACUUUGUUACGAUUCAAAAUUAGUGAGUCUCGCGAAACAACUUAUAGAUUAUUAACUGAGAAUCAAAAGAUUGAAUUUCAUAAAAAAGCUUUGAGAUAUUUGGCAAAUAAUACGAAAAAAUGUAAAUCUUGUGGCAGUAAAUUUUUUAAUAAAUUAUUAGAGUCUCAUCACGAAAAAACGGAUAUAAUACCUCAGACAUAUUCUAAUUUAAAUUUUACUAACUGCCAAUGUAAUUUAAUUCUCAUUACUACAUACUCACAAAUUUUGGAUCAUUGCAUAGGAAUUGAUCGUAAAGACAAAGUAUUAAUAUCAAUGUUAGAAUUUGCAACGGUACUUUUGGCAACUUACAACGUACCAAAAGCCAAAACACUAUUGAAUGAUGCAGAUGAUAUUUUGAACCGGAUAUUCAAAGCACGCGACGAUGAAUUAGUUACCGUCCCUUUUUUAAAAGGAAGAAUAAAAACACUCAAAGCAAAGUGUGAUUUACAAAUCGGGCAAAUUAACGAGGCGGAAAAUAAUUUAAAAGAAGCGAUACGAAGUAUGGGAUACUGGUGGCCUAAAAGUAAUUCGGUAAUUAAAUUAAGAACAAAAUUUUAUUUUCAACAACUCAAGUUCAUGAUGUCAUAUCAAAAAAAUGAUAUGAUUGAUAAAUAUGAUGACGAUGCUACUGAAUAUAAUGAUCAGCUUUCAAAAUGUCUAUCUGAAUUAUUUACUGUCUUUCAGAUUGAAGGAUUGUAUGAAAAUGCUCAACUUGCAGCAGUUUGGAGUUUGCAUUCUGCUUUGGAAUCAAAAAAAUAUUUAAUUACACUUUGUACCGCUUUUGCAAAUAUGAUAACUAUCGGACAUACAUUUAAUAACGAAACAUUUGUAACGAAUAUAGAAAAUGAUGGAAUAAAAUUUUGUGAUAAUAAAAAUACUGAUCUUACAGAACAAGAAUUAAAGUCGAUAGUCAAGUUAUAUACGAGUAUUUUUUGUUCCCGUUUAUUGAAAAAUAAAAUUAAAAAAAUUUUCGAUUUAGGACUGAUAGUUUUUCAGUUGGCUAAAAAUACUACAGAAAAUGAAUCAAAUCGGAUGCUGUACUACACGAUUUGUUUGUCUUUCCUAUUAGAAACUGGAAUAAUAUUAGUAUCUUUAAAAAAUUGUGAAGAAUAUUAUCAAGAAGAAGGUCAAAUAAUUGUCGAACCCAAAGAUGUUGGGGUUAAAGAAAAAUUUUACUCUUCUAUGUGGCUUUGGUAUUUAAGAAUGGAAGAGUGGGAAUCCGCAUUAAUUUGGAACCUGAAAAUAAGAAAUCUCGAUUCGAUUAAAAUAAUAACAAUAAAUGAGUCGUUUACUGCCGUAAUCCAACUCGAAUGUCUUCUCCUGUCGUACGUUCAUAAUCUCGAUCGGAGAAACUUUGACGCUGUUCAGACGAUUUUAGCAGACGUUAAAAAACGAUUUAAAAUACUCGAACGAAUAACAAAAGUUGCUAAAUUUAUUUUGUCACGGUAA